GAGACAUUAGCUCAGUCGGUAGAGCACUUGACUUUUAAUCAAGGGGUCUGGGGUUCGAAUCCCCAAUGUCUCACCA
rnacentral:tRNA from 1 species